UUUUCCCCUCCAGCAUGUCUUGCUACAGUACAAGCAGAAACCGAAAGCUCCUCAUCUUUGAGUACAAGUGGAAACCAAGCAGAAAAAAAAUAAUGUGUGUGUGUGUGU